CAGAAGCCAAAGAAUGACACAGUCGUGCACCAUGGAAGGCAAAGGGCUGGUGGCUGAGCUGCAGAGAGCGGCUAUCUGCCCAGCCUGCAGGGGUCACUUUAAGGACCCAGUGAUCCUCGAUUGUGACCACAGCUAUUGCCGGGCUUGUAUCACUCGCUACUGGAAUGAGGAGACCGCAAAGGGAAAUCAGGUGUUAUCUUGCCCCCUGUGCAAGAAAGUCUUUGAGAGGAGGAACCUCCGCACCAAUGUGAAGCUGGCUGUCGAAGUCAAGAUCACUCAACACCUCAAUGCCAAGACAGCCCAGGUACCCCUUGCCCCAAAGUCCAAGCGCCGCCGUGGAGGGUGGAGACCCACAACCAGCAUCCAGAAAGAAAAGGAAAGCUUCAGAGAAUUCUGCAGCUGUUAUGGUGACUUGGCAAAAUCCCCCUGCCCGAAGACUGAUGGCUGGAAAGAAGCAAGGCCAGAAUAGUGAAAGCAACACAGAAAGAACAAACAAAGCUGCUUUAUACCAGCUAAUGUUUGGAACCUUCACCACCCAUUUUCACCUGAAUAUUCAACCAGAGCUCUUCCAAGUGACUCCCUCUGGUUUCCAAAACCCACUGCAUGGAAAGGAUGGAGAAAUUAAUGUUGCUGCCAGUCCUGAAUUCUGGACACAUUGAGAAAAAAAUGUCCUUUGCAGAUGCCUGGAAACCUCUGGACUUCAUUUCUUCAUAUCCUCUUCAACCGAACCUGAACAGUAGAACCAAAUUUCAGGAUCGAAGUUGCCUCUACUUCAGAAGUUCCACCCAUAACUGAGCAGACCUGAUUUUUGGAUGAGUUCACUUAAGAGAAAAAGCCUUUACUUUAAGGCCAAAACUUGGGAGCUCUAACCUGAACUCUGGAAAAAUCCCCCUCUGCCUCCUCCAGACCUCACUAGAUAUGGGUGACAUGACAGAAAGAAGCUUGUGGGCUUUUGUUUUUAGGUUGCUGUUGAAUCUAGACUGAAAAUUAACCCAGAGAGGGGAAACUGAUGUCAGGCAAGGAUUGGCACUGGAGCUGCAAUCCUGCAAAACAGAGAAAGGUAUAUAAUGCAAUUUCAACAAACCUGCCUGGCAUCCCUGUCACAGCUACCAGGAGCAAUCCCAGUCAGCAAAAGGCUGUAAAGUAUGAAAUUUUCCUGUAAACUGGCAGAAUACUGUGGGUGAUAUUUCUUUCAUCUUCUCUAGCAAAAGGCAGGAAGAAGCUCUUUUAUAAAGUCUCCUGGGUCAAAGCUGGCGCUUCUUGAGUUAGUUGUCUACCAUUUCACUCCCAGAAUUCAUUUCACUGGUCACUUUCCUCCAUCUUCUUUCCUGACGGAAACUCUGUUUCCACCUUCUGCAUUCACGGAAUGAAAGUGGAGGUUUUCGAACCCUACUCAAGGCAGGAGACCUUGUACUAUCCCGGCCAAAUGGCUGUCCAAUCUUUUCUUGAAAACCUCCAGCCAUUGAGCACCACACCUCCAGGAGGCAAGCUGUUCUUUACUUUAGUACACCAAGGACACCACAGUGUGGAUAAGGGGUAACCUGGUUUGUUUGUUGCUUAGCAGAAUGUGCAAACCGGGCUUCAAUGGCCUCGUUCCACAAACAAGAACAAAUACUGAGUACUAUUCACAAACCCAUUCUAUGCCGAUCAUUGAGGAGCAGCACAAAUGAGAGCAUUUUUGGCUUGAAAUAAAAUUUUGCUGAAAAUCACUGUACAAUCAUUCCUUAAACCACCAACAGGUGAAAAUGUUAGGACUUGAGGGGAAAGAAAUGUCACUAAUGUCAACCAGUUCUUAUAAAGUUGAGCCAGAGCCUGCUUAUGGGGAAACCUCUGGAGUGUUCUACCUUUGUUCCCCUUUUUUAAAAAAAAUUAAAAAUGAAUUAACAAGAUUUCUUGUUUCCCUACUGAAUGGUACGCAUGUGCACGAAUAAGGAGGAGACUGCACUACCAUCACAUAGUUAACACUGCAUUGUUUUUAUUUUAUCUGUAAUAGAGUGAUUUUUAAUUUGUGCUUGACUGUAAAUGUAUUCGGGUCCUUCAUGGUACUUGGCUGAAUGUAAAAUCAAGAGCAAAUCAAAAGGCUGACCGCCAAGGCAACUAGUGCAUCUUCUUGCAGGAGGCGUUGGACUGGAAUUUUCAAUAAUAAUAAUAAUAAUAAUAAUAAUAAUAACAACAACAACAACAACAACAACUUCAAGUGUAAGCUGUGGAGUCAAUCCUUGUGCAGCAUUUAAAUGAUUUGCCUCCCCCCAAUAUCAACUGUGAAGGACAUACAAUACUUGAUGCAAGCCAUCAAGAGACACUAGAGUUUAGACUGUGCACAGUAGAAAUGGGGAGAAUAAAUCAAUCUGCAGAACAAUACAGAUCAGAAAUCCAAAAUACUGAUUAGAAAUGUUGCCAUCUUUGUAGUGCUCCUGCUUUUCUAAUAGCAACACAAUCUAAGUAGUCCUUGAACUUACAACCAUCUGUGCUGAAAAAAGUGACUGACAGUCUUUGCACUUAGGUUGUAGCGUCCCUAUAGUCACAGGAUCAAAAUGUACUUGGCCACCGGUUAUGAUGGUUGCAGUGUCCUGGGAUCCUAUGAUUGCCAUUUGUGGUUUUUCUAAUUGACUUCCAAUGAGCAACGUCAAUGGGGGAAGCCUGGUUUGCUUAACAACUGGUUUGCUUAACAAUUCGCUUAAGGAUCGCAGCAAAAAAAAAAAAAAAAAUAGAAAAAAUUCUUUAGUGACAGAAGUUCCAGUCCCAUGUGGUUGUAUGUUGAGGACUACCAAUAGUAAAAAUGGAAUCGGGACUAGGUUAUAAAAAUGGGGCUGGAAAAGGAGAAAAGUGCUUUCUCUGAUUGUGCAGACACUGUUUUUUCCUUCAUCGCCACCCCUGAUAUUUCUAGUAGCAGCUACCAAAAGUUUUUCACAAUUUCUUUAGGAAAGGAUGCUGUAGUUCAGGGAUCUUCAGACUUAGCCCUUUUAUGACUUACGGACUUCAACUCCCAGAAUUCCUCAGCCAGGCAUGCUGACUGAGGAAUUCUGGGGGUUGAAGUCCACAAGUCAUAAAAGGGCCAAGUUUGAAGAUUCCUGCUGUAGUUCAACACACAGGACUUUUUCUAGAAAGCUGAUAAAUCAUUUUUUAACAGCUACAGAAAUGAAGAAACAACGUAGGUGUUCAUUCUACAGAACUAUCCGUGUUUCCACGAAAAUAAGACCAGGUGUUAUUAUUAUUAUUUUGCCUCCAAAAAAGGCACAAGGUCUUAUUUUCGGGGGGGGGGGGUGUCUUUUUUAUUCACCUUCUGCACUGACAGUCCUGCCCAGCCCAUCUACUUCUGUAGCUGAAGGAGUAGUUUCAUCCUGCAGCUGCAUUCUGGCCUGCAUUUCGCAGUCUGGCCUUUCUGGAAGGCUCUGCAGCCGAGGACUGAGCUAUGAAUUCAAUCUAUGGCUCGGUUCUAAGCUACAGUGGCCUUUCCAGAAAUGCAGGCCUGACUGAGAAAUGCAGGCCUGGCUGCAGAAGACGCCUCAGAAGAGGUGGGCUGGCGUGGAGAGGCCUGGCUGCAAGGUAUGUGGGUGUGGGGCGCGUGGGGAAGCUCCACAUCCCCACCCCUGCCCUAACUUGAUUUUUAAGUGUGUGCCUCACCCCAAAACUAGGGCUUAUUUUUGGGGUUGGGCUUAUAUUAGGCCCACCCCCAAAAUCAAGCUAGGGCUUAUUUUCAGGGUAGGCCUUACUUUCAGGGAAACGGUAUGUAAAUAUGGAAUUGUUUCAAUUCACUUAUUCUGCAGUUGAGCCAAGCCAGAAUGCGGUUGGUGUGACUGUGGCUUAAUGCCACGAACCUAGUCAUUUGUAUCAUAUUUAAGAAAUCUUCAUUAAAAGAGAAUAUGGUUUAACAGAA